rnacentral:rRNA from 1 species
GUGUCAGCCGCCGCGGUAAUACGGGGGGAGCAAGCGUUGUUCGGAUUUACUGGGCGUAAAGGGCGCGUAGGCGGCCACUGCAAGUCAAUUGUGAAAUCUCCGGGCUUAACUCGGAAAGGUCAACUGAUACUGCAGGGCUAGAGUGCAGAAGGGGCAACUGGAAUUCUCGGUGUAGCGGUGAAAUGCGUAGAUAUCGAGAGGAACACCUGCGGCGAAGGCGGGUUGCUGGGCUGACACUGACGCUGAGUGUGCGAAAGCUAGGGGAGCGAACGGGAUUAGAUACCCGCGUAGUCC